rnacentral:lncRNA from 1 species
AUAUAACAGAUGUUACAUUUCAUUUCAGGAGUUAACAUGAAUAAUAAGUGAGAACAGUGAUGAAUAAAUAGAGAGGUAUGAAAUAUACUUGAAAUUUAAAACUAUACAAUCAGUAAUAUAAAACACAACGUUUACAAAAUAGACCGAACGGUCUGGAAUACAGUUCAUUGACCUCACGGCCAACAUCAACAGAACUAGAAUAAGAGAAACUAUCCUAAGGACCGGACGGUCCUGCAAAACUCUCAGGCACGGCCUCCACGGGGAACUNNGUCUGCACGGCAUCCUCCAGAGUGUCCUCCAGGGUAGCUUCCAAAGUAACCUCUGCUCACAUCCAAAAGGAUGAUCACGGCCACGAAGAGAAUAACCGAACGGUUGAAUACCGAACGUCAACAUAGACAAAGACACAACAGAUAAGGGUAAGCUUAUGUAAAUUUAAUUUAUCAUUUCGUCAUACAAGUAAACAUACAAACUCAAACCAAUCAAUCAUGCAAGCAUACAAUUUCAAUACAUGCAUACUACAGAUCUCAAAUCAUGAUCGACCACUAAGACACUGUCCGGACGGUAUGAACAUGUAGCUCGGUCGUCCCUAGCACCCGGUGUGGUGUAGUAACUGUCUUUCCUUAUCAGCUGCCACCCGAGGUUAGUCCUCAAACGGUUAUCUGUUCAUAUAACCGCGGACCUCCUGCCAUUCCCACACAUGAGUGACCUUUCUCUACCUGAGAAAGCGUCCUCACGGAAUAUCAGGAUCAGGACGACACCUGAGUCAUUCCCACGUUCAUACUUUACCAAUCAUUACCAAUUCAUGAGACAUUCCUCCAGUGGAAUUCCCUUACUUAGCCAAAUUCAAUCAAGGUUCGUUAUUACUUCCAAGCUGUUAGGGUGUUGAGAGAAGUACCAGAUAUCCCAUACUGAAUUAUAAAUAAUAGUGACCGAACGGUUUAAUCGAAAUGGGAAACUGAGUAUUAAGAAUUCAAGUAAGUGGCCGGACGGUCAUAUCAAAGGUAAGACUGAAUAACAGAAGAAUGUCAAAUGUUUGAUAGGAUGGUUUGGCAAAGAAUGAGACCAUAACUCAAGGAUUGACUAUAAGUGAUAGUCAUCCGAACGGUUUGGCAAGAGUAUCAUAAAAUAGGCACUAAUAAUGGUCGAAGGUUGGUCUAUGACCAAACACUUAUCAGACCGGACGAAUUAAGAAAGAAGAAACUCUUUAAAGGAGUAAAAGGACUUUAGUCAAGUAAACUGAACGUCUCAAUAAUUAAAGGUUCACUAGACCGUUCAGUCAUUAAGUGACCGGACGGUAUCAAAGGAAGAAUAUUAGAUUUGCAAGUUUUAUAAUUUGAGUGUCAACCUAAGGCCGAACACUUGGAAGGCCGAACGCUUGGUUUAUGACCAGCGUUCCUAAAUAACUAUUGAUAAAACAAUUAGAGAAAACCAACUAAGUUUAGUAAUCACACUAGGCCAUUUAGUCCAAACAGACCGAACGGAAAAGGGAGGACCGAACGGUCCUAAUGACCUUCGAUCUCAGAUUCAUAUUUUCUCUAAGUUUCAUACAUACUCUUAUCAGUGCAGAAUUCAUAGUUCAUACUUAUCAUACAACUCAUACAACAACAUACCAUAUCUCAAUCAUAAGAAAUCAAGAAGCAUACUUUAGAUAUCAAACAUACAUUAAAUCACGCAUACAUUCAAACCAUACAGAGAAAUUAUAAUUAAACUUUAUAAGCUUCCCUUACCUCUAAUUCCAGCUAAGACUUUGAAAGGAGGUUGGUAGGAACUAUUCUUCUAAGUUUUCCAAGGUCAGAUGUAACCCAAAACCGGACGGUUCAAGUGAAAGAGGAGACCACCAGAAGUCUUCAGGUGUGAUCUGAAUGGUGAUCGGAACAGUAGAUGAGUUAGAAUUUUAGAGAGAAGGUAGGGAGGUUUAGAGAGAAGGAGGAGAAUUUGAGAUUUCAGAAAGUUGAGUUUGAGGAAGAAGAAGAAGAUUGCAUGGAAAAGUGGCGUCAGGUUUCAUUCUUACCUUAAAUACUGCCUCCAUUCCGAACGGUCGGCCAACUCCCAGCGUGACACCUGACUUCCACUUUCUGAGGUUCACUGCUCUGCUGCUGCUACACGGAUCACGAAGGAAGGGAAUUAAAAGUUUGACAGAGUUUGUCUCCCACUCACCAGGGGAGAACCGGACGGUCGACAAGUGUACUCCACUAAAGAGGGUAUUAAACGGGGUAUGACAACUUAGUUAUUUUUGUCUAAUCUUAAUUGAAAGUUAAAAUGUUUUUGUCUAAGCAUAUUUUGAGCAAAUUCAAUAAUUGAAUUGCAAUGAUAGUUUAUGUAAAGUGAAAAUUUGACUGGAAGCAAGAUUAAAUGAAAAUGGAACUAAGAUCAGAAAUGUAAAAAUUAAAAUUAGUUUCAACAACAAAAUUAAUUUAGUUUCAAAAGUACUUUAAUUAGAGACUUAAUUAAUUAAUAAUUUGAUUAUUAUAUUUAAAUUGACUAAGAGAUAAUAAUGUAAGUUUAAUAAAAUAUUUAAUUAAUAAUUUAAUUUUUAUAUAUUUCUUUUGAUUUAAUUGAGUUUAAAUAUGAAUUACACUGAGAUAAUAUGAUUUAUUUUUUCAUGACUUUCACGAAUCAUGAUAACAAAUUUAAAAGUUAUAAUUAGGUUCACGUGUAUAUUUCUUAGAAUAUAGUAAACAAAAAUAAAUAUUUUAAAUCUAAAGGAGACAUGUAGUAAGAUUGUAUCUUCAAAUAAGAAAGAGUUGAAAAGGAAAAAGAGAAUUUAAAUUUACACAUAAUCA